GACGAACGCUGGCGGCGUGCUUAACACAUGCAAGUCGAGCGGUAAGGCUCCUUCGGGAGUACACGAGCGGCGAACGGGAGAGUAACACGUGAGUAAUCUGCCCUUCACUUCGGGAUAACCACCGGAAACGGUUGCUAAUACCGAAUACGACCAGUCUUCGCAUGAGGUGCUGGUGGAAAGUCUUUUCGGUGAAGGAUGUGCUCGCGGCCUAUCAGCUUGUUGUUGGGGUAAUGGCCUACCAAGGCUUCGACGGGUAGCCGGCCUGAGAGGGUGAACGGCCACACUGGGACUGAGACACGGCUCAGACUCCUACGGGAGGCAGCAGUGAGGAAUAUUGGACAAUGGGCGAAAGCCUGAUCCAGCAACGCCGCGUGAGGGAUGACGGCCUUCGGGUUCUAAACCUCUAUCAGUACCGACGAAGCGCCCUGUCGGGUGGUGACGGUAGGUACAGAAGAAGGACCGGCCAACUACGUG
rnacentral:rRNA from 1 species